GUCGAGAAUUUUUCACAAUGGGCGAAAGCCUGAUGGAGCGACGCCGCGUGGGGGAUGAAUGGCUUCGGUCCGUAAACCCCUGUCAUUCGGGAACAAUGCCUGCGGAAUAACACUUCGCAGGUUGAUAGUACUGGAAGAGGAAGGGACGGCUAACUCUGUGCCAGCAGCCGCGGUAAUACAGAGGUCCCAAGCGUUGUUCGGAUUCACUGGGCGUAAAGGGUGCGUAGGUGGCCGGGUAAGUCUGAUGUGAAAUCUCGAAGCUUAACUUCGAAACUGCAUCGGAUACUACUUGGCUAGAGGUCUGGAGGGGGGACUGGAAUUCUCGGUGUAGCAGUGAAAUGCGUAGAUAUCGAGAGGAACGCCAAUGGCGAAGGCUAGUCCCUGGACAGAUCCUGACACUGAGGCACGAAAGCUAGGGGAGCAAACAGGAUUAGAUACCCCGGUAGUCC
rnacentral:rRNA from 1 species